rnacentral:rRNA from 1 species
UGAGGAAUAUUGCGCAAUGGGCGAAAGCCUGACGCAGCGACGCCGCGUGGAGGAUGAAGGUCUUCGGAUUGUAAACUUCUGUUAAGUGGGAAGAAAGAGCCGUUUUUAAUAGAGACGGUAAAUGACGGUACCAUUAAAGAAAGCACCGGCUAAACUCGUGCCAGCAGCCGCGGUAAUACGAGUGGUGCAAGCGUUAUUCGGAAUAAUUGGGCGUACAGGGUGUGUAGGCGGCAUGUUAAGUCUGUUGUUAAAUUCUCCAGCCUAACUGGAGACAGGCAGCGGAAACUGGCGUGCUAGAGGGUGGAAGAGAGAAGUGGAAUUCUCGGUGUAGCGGUAAAAUGCGUAGAUAUCGAGAGGAACACCGAUGGCGAAGGCAGCUUCUUGGUCCAUUCCUGACGCUGAAACACGAAAGCGUGGGGAGCAAACA